rnacentral:rRNA from 1 species
AUUGAACGCUGGCGGCAGGCCUAACACAUGCAAGUCGAACGGUAACAGGAAGAAGCUUGCUUCUUUGCUGACGAGUGGCGGACGGGUGAGUCAUGUCUGGGAAACCGCCUGAUGGAGGGGGAUAACUACUGGAAACGGUAGCUAAUACCGCAUAACGUCGCAAGACCAAAGAGGGGGACCGUCGGGCCUCUUGCCAUCGGAUGUGCCCAGAUGGUGUUAGUUGGGAGGUGGGGUAACGUCUCACCUAGGUGACGGUCCCUAGCUGGUGUGAGAGGAUGACCAGCCACACUGGAACUGAAACACGGUCCUUGCUCCUACGCGAGGCAGCAGUGGGGAAUAUUACACAAUAGGCGCAAGCCUGAUGCAGCCAUGCCACGUGUAAGAAGAAGGCCUUCGGGUUGUAAAGAACUUUCAGCGGGGAGGAAGGGAUUAACGUUAAUACCUUUACUCAUUGACGGUACCCGCAAAAGAAGCACCGGCUAACUCCGUG